rnacentral:rRNA from 1 species
GAUGAACGCUGGCGGCGUGCCUAAUACAUGCAAGUCGAGCGAACAGACAAGGAGCUUGCUCCUUUGACGUUAGCGGCGGACGGGUGAGUAACACGUGGGUAACCUACCUAUAAGACUGGGAUAACUUCGGGAAACCGGAGCUAAUACCGGAUAAUAUUUCGAACCGCAUGGUUCGAUAGUGAAAGAUGGUUUUGCUAUCACUUAUAGAUGGACCCGCGCCGUAUUAGCUAGUUGGUAAGGUAACGGCUUACCAAGGCGACGAUACGUAGCCGACCUGAGAGGGUGAUCGGCCACACUGGAACUGAGACACGGUCCAGACUCCUACGGGAGGCAGCAGUAGGGAAUCUUCCGCAAUAGGCGAAAGCCUGACGGAGCAACGCCGCGUGAGUGAUGAAGGUCUUCGGAUCGUAAAACUCUGUUAUUAGGGAAGAACAUACAUGUAAGUAACUAUGCACGUCUUGACGGUACCUAAUCAGAAAGCCACGGCUAACUACGUGCCAGCAGCCGCGGUAAUACGUAGGUGGCAAGCGUUAUCCGGAAUUAUUGGGCGUAAAGCGCGCGUAGGCGGUUUUUUAAGUCUGAUGUGAAAGCCCACGGCUCAACCGUGGAGGGUCAUUGGAAACUGGAAAACUUGAGUGCAGAAGAGGAAAGUGGAAUUCCAUGUGUAGCGGUGAAAUGCGCAGAGAUAUGGAGGAACACCAGUGGCGAAGGCGACUUUCUGGUCUGUAACUGACGCUGAUGUGCGAAAGCGUGGGGAUCAAACAGGAUUAGAUACCCUGGUAGUCCACGCCGUAAACGAUGAGUGCUAAGUGUUAGGGGGUUUCCGCCCCUUAGUGCUGCAGCUAACGCAUUAAGCACUCCGCCUGGGGAGUACGACCGCAAGGUUGAAACUCAAAGGAAUUGACGGGGACCCGCACAAGCGGUGGAGCAUGUGGUUUAAUUCGAAGCAACGCGAAGAACCUUACCAAAUCUUGACAUCCUUUGACAACUCUAGAGAUAGAGCCUUCCCCUUCGGGGGACAAAGUGACAGGUGGUGCAUGGUUGUCGUCAGCUCGUGUCGUGAGAUGUUGGGUUAAGUCCCGCAACGAGCGCAACCCUUAAGCUUAGUUGCCAUCAUUAAGUUGGGCACUCUAAGUUGACUGCCGGUGACAAACCGGAGGAAGGUGGGGAUGACGUCAAAUCAUCAUGCCCCUUAUGAUUUGGGCUACACACGUGCUACAAUGGACAAUACAAAGGGCAGCGAAACCGCGAGGUCAAGCAAAUCCCAUAAAGUUGUUCUCAGUUCGGAUUGUAGUCUGCAACUCGACUACAUGAAGCUGGAAUCGCUAGUAAUCGUAGAUCAGCAUGCUACGGUGAAUACGUUCCCGGGUCU